CCUUUCUGAAGAACUGUAAUGCCAUUAAUUUGGUGUUGCAGGGAAACAGGACUGUUACUUUGAAAAAAUUAGAGUGUUUAAAGCAGGCUAACGCUUGAAUACAUUAGCAUGGAAUAAUGAAAUAGGACGUUCGAUCCCAUUUUGUUGGUUUCUAGGAUUGACGUAAUGAUUAAUAGGGAUAGUUGGGGGCAUUAGUAUUCAAUUGUCAGAGGUGAAAUUCUUGGAUUUAUUGAAGACUAACUACUGCGAAAGCAUUUGCCAAGGAUGUUUUCAUUAAUCAAGAACGAAAGUUAGGGGAUCGAAGACGAUCAGAUACCGUCGUAGUCUUAACCAUAAACUAUGCCGACUAGGGAUCGGAUGAUGUUAAUUUUUUAAUGACUCAUUCGGCGCCUUACG
rnacentral:rRNA from 1 species